rnacentral:tRNA from 1 species
GGGGCCAUCGUCUAAAUGGUCAGGAUAGAUGACUCUCAAUCAUCCGAUGUGGGUUCGAUUCCCGCUGGCCCUACCA